GGAGUAUCGACCCUCUCUGUGCCGAAGCUAACGCUUUAAGUGUCCCGCCUGGGGACUACGGCCGCAAGGCUAAAACUCAAAGGAAUUGACGGGGGCCCGCACAAGCAGCGGAGCGUGUGGUUUAAUUCGAUGCAACACGAAAAACCUUACCAAGGUUUGACAUGUCGGAAGUAUUGAACUGAAAGGGGAACG
rnacentral:rRNA from 1 species